GGGAUAAUAACUCAGCUGGGAGAGUGUACGACUGAAGAUCGUAAAGUCGCCAGUUCGAGCCUGGCUUGUCCCA
rnacentral:tRNA from 2 species